rnacentral:rRNA from 1 species
UGGGGAAUUUUGCGCAAUGGGGGAAACCCUGACGCAGCAACGCCGCGUGAGUGAUGAAGGCCUUCGGGUCGUAAAGCUCUGUCAGGGGGGAAGAAAUGUAGGGGUGCUAAUAUCGCCUUUACUUGACGGUACCCUCAAAGGAAGCACCGGCUAACUCCGUGCCAGCAGCCGCGGUAAUACGGAGGGUGCGAGCGUUGUUCGGAAUUAUUGGGCGUAAAGCGCGUGUAGGCGGUUUGGUAAGUCUGAUGUGAAAGCCCCGGGCUCAACCCGGGAAGUGCAUUGGAAACUGUCAGACUUGAAUACGGGAGAGGGUAGUGGAAUUCCUAGUGUAGGAGUGAAAUCCGUAGAUAUUAGGAGGAACACCGGUGGCGAAGGCGGCUACCUGGACCGAUAUUGACGCUGAGACGCGAAAGCGUGGGGAGCAAACA